AUUCUGGCUCAAAUGAACGUUGGCGGCGUGGAUUAGGCAUGCGAGUCGAACAAGCCAGCAAUGGUUAGUGGCGGAAGGGAGAGUAAUGCGUGGGAAUCUGCCCCUGGGACUGGGAUAGCUACGGGAAACUGUAGGUAAUACCAGAUAAUAUCUCUGGAUCGAAGGCGCGUACCGCCUGGGGAUGAGCCCGCGUCCUAUUAGGUAGUUGGUGAGGUAACGGCUCACCAAGCCAUAGAUGGGUAGCAGGUGUGAGAGCACGACCUGCCUCACUGGGACUGAGACACUGCCCAGACACCUACGGGUGGCUGCAGUCGAGAAUCUUCGGCAAUGAGCGCAAGCUUGACCGAGCGACGCCGCGUGCGGGAUGGAGGCCUUCGGGUUGUAAACCGCUUUUCGAGAGGAUGAAGUGUCGGAGCACAUCCGAUUUGACAUAUUCUCGGAAUAAGUACGGGCUAAGUUCGUGCCAGCAGCCGCGGUAAGACGAACCGUACGAACGUUAUUCGGAAUUACUGGGCUUAAAGGGUGCGUAGGCGGCAUCGAAAGUAGGGUGUGAAAUCCCUCGGCUUAACCGAGGAACUGCGCUCUAAACUACGAUGCUCGAGGAAGAUAGAGGACCAUGGAACUUCGGGUGGAGCGGUGAAAUGCGUUGAUAUCCGUGGGAACACCGGUGGCGAAAGCGAUGGUCUGGAUCUUUUCUGACGCUGAGGCACGAAAGCUAGGGGAGCGAACGGGAUUAGAUACCCCGGUAGUCCUAGCUGUAAACGAUGAGCACUGGGUCGGAGGGACUUCCAUAUCCUUCUGGCCGCACUGAAAAAGUUAAGUGCUCCGCCUGGGGAGUAUGGCCGCAAGGCUGAAACUCAAAGAAAUUGACGGGGGCUCACACAAGCGGUGGAGGAUGUGGCUUAAUUCGAGGCUACGCGAAGAACCUUAUCCUAGUCUUGACAUGUACGGAUUAACUUGGUGAAAGCCAGGCCACGCUCGCAAGAGUGGAACGUGCACAGGUGCUGCAUGGCUGUCGUCAGCUCGUGUCGUGAGAUGUCGGGUUAAGUCCCUUAACGAGCGAAACCCUUGUCCUUAGUUGCCAGCGAGUUAUGUCGGGGACUCUAAGGAGACUGCCGGUGUUAAACCGGAGGAAGGUGGGGAUGACGUCAAGUCCUCAUGGCCUUUAUGACUAGGGCUGCACACGUCCUACAAUGGUUGGCACAAAGGGAAGCAAGCUCGCGAGAGUAAGCAAAUCCCAAAAAUCCAACCCCAGUACGGAUUGCAGGCUGCAACUCGCCUGCAUGAAGCCGGAAUCGCUAGUAAUCGCAGGUCAGCAUACUGCGGUGAAUGUGUUCCUGAGCCUUGUACACACCGCCCGUCAAGCCACGAGAAUGGGGGACGUCCGAAGUCACUGAGCUAACCUUCGGGAAGCAGGUGCCUAAGACGGACUCCGUGAUUGGGACUAAGUCGUAACAAGGUA
rnacentral:rRNA from 1 species